GAUGAAGAACGCAGCGAAAUGCGAUAAGUAAUGUGAAUUGCAGAACUCAGUGAAUCAUCGAAUCUUUGAACGCACAUUGCGCCCGCUGGUAUUCCGGCGGGCAUGCCUGUUCGAGCGUCAUUUCAACCCUCAAGCCCCCGGGUUUGGUGUUGGGGAUCGGCUCUGCCCUUCUGGGCGGUGCCGCCCCCGAAAUACAUUGGCGGUCUCGCUGCAGCCUCCAUUGCGUAGUAGCUAACACCUCGCAACUGGAACGCGGCGCGGCCAUGCCGUAAAACCCCAACUUCUGAAUGUUGACCUCGGAUCAGGUAGGAAUACCCGCUGAACUUAAGCAUAUCAAUAAGCGGAGGA
rnacentral:misc_RNA from 1 species